GAAUUCUCAGCUCUUAUACAGAAGUGCUGUGCAGCUGCUGACAAAGAAGCCUGCUUUGCAGAGGAGGGUCCAAAACUUGUUGCUUCAUGCCAAGCAAUUUUAGCCUAAAAUCAACAAAAUCACAAGCAUCUCAGUUUACCCUGAGAGAAAGAAAGAGAAAUGAAGACCCAAAGUUUAUUCAACUGUUUUUCCUUUUAUUUGAUGUAAAACCAACAGCCUCUCUAAAGAACAUAAGUUUCUUUAAAUUGUUGUAAUGUAC